AUUGAACGCUGGCGGAAUGCUUUACACAUGCAAGUCGAACGGCAGCACGGACUUCGGUCUGGUGGCGAGUGGCGAACGGGUGAGUAAUGUAUCGGAACGUGCCCAGUCGUGGGGGCUAACGUAGUGAAAGUUACGCUAAUACCGCAUACGAUCUAUGGAUGAAAGCGGGGGAUCGCAAGACCUCGCGCGAUUGGAGCGGCCGAUAUCCGAUUAGGUAGUUGUUGAGGUAAAGGCCCACCAAGCCAACGAUCUGUAGCUGGUCUGAGAGGAAGACCAGGCACACUGGAACUGAGACACGGUCCAGAGUCCUAAGGGAGGCAGCAGUGGGUAAUUUUGGACAAGGGGGGAGAGCCUGAUCCAGCCAUUCCGCGUGCAGGAUGAAGGCCCGCGGGUUGUAAACUGCUUUUGUACAGAACGAAAAGGUUUCUACUAAUACUAGGAGCUCAUGACGGUGCUGUAAGAAUAAGCACCGGCUAACUACGUGCCAGCAGCCGCCGCAG
rnacentral:rRNA from 1 species